rfam:Microdochium bolleyi strain J235TASD1 unplaced genomic scaffold Micbo1qcscaffold_8, whole genome shotgun sequence.
GGUACGAUGCCAGAGUGGUUAAUGGGUCAGGUUAGUACAUCCUGAGCUAGAUUCUCAGGGUCUCCACAUUUACUAACAUCGCCUCCAGACUUGAAUUCCUUAAUUCAAUCUUAUCUGAUGGCUUCGGCCGCGUAGGUUCAAAUCCUGCUCGUAUCG